CCUUCCCUUCCAGCCUGGGGACAGCCUCCAGCAGCAGCGUUAAAGCCAAGGGAAUUUCCCUCACAGAAAUUCAAUCCCAAGCAAUGCCCUCGGAGAUGCCGUAAAAUAAAAGUGACAAGAACAUGAACUCACAACCAUUAAGACCUGGCAGUCCCUUGCAGUGAGACCUCAGCACACAUCCAGAGGCAAUUCCAGCAUCUGAAAGAAAGAAAGGAAGAAGAAAAAGGCACCUUUGCAAUCAAACUCUGAAGCUGACAAGCCCAAAAGCUCUGGAGUCUGUCUGCUCUGGAACAAAAGGAUACUCCCAGGGAUGAGGCACAUUCCCAGCAAACGCUCCCAACACGGCACAGGGGCACCACUGGAGCUCGUGUUGGGGCUGGGAAGGGCUGCCAGGAGGACACAGCCCCCAGCUGGGGUGGCAGUGGCAGUGACAGCAGCAAAUUCCCACAGCCUGAUGGCACAGCAGAGGGACAAAGGCCAGCAAUGGCCACGGGAGCUGCAGGUUUCAUUCUGCUCCCUGCGCUGCCGCAUCCCGGCAGGAAAUCUCCAGGGGGGACAGAAACUCCCUGGGUGCACAAAGUGCAGCAUCUGUGCCCCUGAUCCUGCUGAAACUCAGCGUGUGGGGCCAACCCCCCAAGGUAAACACUGCCCUGCCUGCAUCAGCCUCAGCCACUGCCCCAGUUCUCAGCUCCCACUGCUCCGGGGCUGCCCCACAUUCCUGACCAGGAGCCAAAGGCCCCUUUGGACAGGGCUCUCUCUGUGUCUCAGGCCUUGGGGACUGCAGGGACCAGGGCAAGGACAGCCUGAAACCAGGGCAGAUCCCUCUGGGGACAAGUGGGGACUCACCCCACACCACGGGCAGGACCAGGGGCCCUCCAGUGCAGGCUGGAGCCCGUUGGGUUUGGCUGCUCAAACACCAAAGCUUUGGGCAGAGAUGGGAUGAGUUAAGUGGUUUUUCCUGUCCUGAAAGGGAGGAGAAAAUGGAAAUUAGGUCCACUCUGGAAGUCAAAGGCCCCUGGCUUUCCUAUUUCUGUUCUGAUUGCCCAUUAUGGGGUUCUAGCCAUAAAAAAUGAGAGGUGACACCAAAUUAAAGUGCCCCUUGUCAACAUUUUUUCCCUACUUUUUUCAUACAUAAAAAGAUGCCCAUUUUUCUUAUUGCAUUCUUUGCCUAAUUUUAACAGAACCAUUUUCACUCCAGGCCCCACUUGUGAGCUCCCAAAUCCUUUGCCAUUGGACUUUGG